CGCCAGCGGUUGAGUGCAGGCGGGCUGAUUGGGUGCUGUUCAUGCGGCCUUCCCUCCUCCUCCUUCUUCUCCUCGACAUGUCCACGUCGCCGCUUCUCUUUCGCCUCGACUCUGUUGUGAGAGGGGAGCAGACAUGACUUGUUGGCGACAGCAGCAUCUCAGAGAAGGUGGAAGAUGAGUGAGGAGGCUGCAGAGAAAGAGAAAAGCUGUCCAGUGACAACUCUGCUCCAGGGACAUGACGGUGCAUGCUCCACCAGAUGGUGCUGUUUUUCGAUCCAACGAGCAAGUCAAUUCUACCAACCCAACGACUUUGGAAGAACUUGAAGGGCGAAUACGAGACGUUAUGAAGAGCUCCUUGUGAAAUCAGUUAAUGCGGUUCCCAGGCGGCUUGAGAAACUGGUUGCUAAUGCUGGCGCCCAUAUUGAAUUUUAAAUAAA